rnacentral:tRNA from 3 species
GCGAAUGUAGUUCAAUGGUAGAACUUCAGCCUUCCAAGCUGACUACGUGGGUUCGAUUCCCAUCAUUCGCUCCA